GGGGAAAGAUUUAUUGCUAUUAGAAGAGCCCAUAUCCGAUUAGCUAGUUGGUAAGGUAAUGGCUUACCAAGGCUACGAUCGGUAGCUGGUCUGAGAGGAUGAUCAGCCACACUGGGACUGAGAUACGGCCCAGACUCCUACGGGAGGCAGCAGUGAGGAAUAUUGAACAAUGGGCGAAAGCCUGAUUCAGCAAUGCCGCGUGAGUGAUGAAGGCCCAUUGGGUUGUAAAGCUCUUUUGGUGGGGAAGAUUGUGACGGUACCCACAGAAUAAGGACCGACUAACUACGUGCCAGCAGUCGCGGUAAUACGUAGGGUCCUAGCGUUGCUCGGAAUUACUGGGCGUAAAGGGUGCGUAGGCCGAUCUCCAAGUCAGGGGGUAAAUCCCGAGGCUCAACCUCGGACUUCUUCUGAAACUAGAGAUCUUGAGUAUGGUAGAAGGCAGUGGAAUUCCUAGUGUAGGGGUAAAAUCCGUAGAUAUUAGGAGGAACACCAAUGGCGAAGGCAGCUGCCUGGGCCAUUACUGACGCUGAGGCACGAAAGUGUGGGGAGCAAACAGGAUUAGAUACCCUGGUAGUCCACACUGUAAACGAUGAGUGCUUGGUCUCGGAGCUUAUGGCUUCGGGGUCGGAGCUAACGCGUUAAGCACUCCGCCUGGGGACUACGAUCGCAAGAUU
rnacentral:rRNA from 1 species